CCUCAAAACUGAAAUGGAAAAUACCCUUGUCAUUGUGUGAAGAUCUUAGACAGAAUCAACGAUGCUAUUGAAUUGUCCUGUUAAAUGAAGCUUAUGGAGGUCACACUCCAUUUACUGUAGGAAAGCAGUCUUGAGAAGGAGAAAAUUUUUGCAGGAGGCAAGUCGUUGGCAUGGUGAUGUUAUUCCAGGAUCUGGUUGAUGAAAUGUGAGGCUGAUUGUCAGAUUUUUUGAAACUUGUAUAAACUGUAAAACAAGUUCUGCAAAAUUCACAGUUUUAUUUAUACUUUUGGUUUUCCCAUUUGCUUUUGUUUGUUUAAGGUAAUAUUAUAAUAGAUUUAUUUGUCUACUUUAGUGUCAAACUCAAAUAUUG
rnacentral:misc_RNA from 1 species